rnacentral:rRNA from 1 species
UACGUAGGGGGCAAGCGUUGUCCGGAAUCAUUGGGCGUAAAGAGCGCGUAGGCGGCCCGAUAAGUCCGCUGUGAAAAGUCAAGGGCUUAACCCUUGAAUGCCGGUGGAAACUGUCGGGCUAGAGUCCGGAAGAGGCGAGUGGAAUUCCUGGUGUAGCGGUGAAAUGCGCAGAUAUCAGGAGGAACACCGAUGGCGAAGGCGGCAUCCUGGACCAUUAUUGACGCUGAGGAGCGAAAAGCCAGGGGGAGCAAACGGGG